UACGUAGGGGGCUAGCGUUGUCCGGAAUCAUUGGGCGUAAAGAGCGUGUAGGCGGCCAGGUAGGUCUGGUGUGAAAACUCGAGGCUUAACCUCGAGAUGUCAUCGGAAACCAUUUGGCUAGAGUCCGGAAGAGGAGAGUGGAAUUCCUGGUGUAGCGGUGAAAUGCGCAGAUAUCAGGAAGAACACCAAUGGCGAAAGCAGCUCUCUGGGACGGUACUGACGCUGAGACGCGAAAGCGUGGGGAGCGAACAGG
rnacentral:rRNA from 1 species